CCUCUGGGAUGAGUCGGGCUGGGCGCAAUUGCAUUGUGGGGAGGGAGGCUGGGGCUCUGCGGAGACGCACUCCUGGCGCUACCCGCUGCUCCUGGGCUCCCACCGGUGGCCACUCCAGGACAAUGCCCCCCACAGCCAUCUUGUGCCCGUCACCACUGCUCCGGGGCAGCUGAACUGAGGCACCCCUUUGGGACGGCCCGGGAUGGCCUCCUGGCCCCUCCUCAGCCUCCACCUCCUGCUGCUGCUGCCGCCGCUGCACCC